GGGCGAAUUGGUAUCGGGUUAGCUCUUAUAGGGCGGUUAGUGGGCGGUUUAUCGGCCUAACAUACAUGUUCACUAAAUAUCUCUUAUUCUCCUCGUCUUACAAAUAAUGAAUUGCCAUAAAAAAUAAUAUUUUAGAGGCAAUAUGAUGUAGCUAAUGAAACAAUCGCCAUCAGCAUGUAGAUUAUAAAAUAGAUAAAUUC
rnacentral:lncRNA from 1 species